rnacentral:rRNA from 1 species
UACGUAGGAUGCAAGCGUUGUCCGGAAUUAUUGGGCGUAAAGAGCGAGCAGGCGGUUCAUCAAGUCAGAUGUGAAAUAUCCCGGCUUAACCGGGAGGGGCCAUUUGAAACUGAUGGACUAGAGUGGAGCAGAGGAUAGUGGAAUUCCCGGUGUAGUGGUGAAAUGCGUAGAUAUCGGGAGGAACACCAGUGGCGAAGGCGACUAUCUGGGCUUUAACUGACGCUGAGGCGCGAAGGCCGGGGGAGCAAACAGG